GGGAGAAAGAAUAUUGGAGCGUGGAGAUAUAAUAGACACAAAACUAGGUGUCUAGGUGAGAGCAAAGAGAAGAAGAAGAGGGUCUUCUUCUAGGCUUGCUGAGUUCACCUCUUCUCUUCUUCUAUCUGUGAGUUUUCUGAGAGUAUCUCACAUAUAAAACUCUUUCUCCUACUUCUCAUCUUUGAAAGAGUCUAAAUCAAGAAGAAGAAAGCAUCUGAUCAAUCAUCAAAGAAGGAUCAGCACAGUACUAGCAUAUUAUGCUGAUUUCCUGGAUCAGGAUUUCUGAUCGUGAUUCGUGGGCUCGUGUGGAUGACUGCUAG
rnacentral:lncRNA from 1 species